UUUUGGUUUGGAUUUUUUUUUCCUUCUGCUUUUACUCCAUAGUGAGUCUGGAGUGCUGUUGGAAGUCUGAAUGAGGCUGAGGGAGGAAACUGGAAAAAUACAGAAUGCUCCUUUACAGAUCUUGGCAUUUCAGAAACCUGGACACAUUGAGGAGGUUGGAGAGGAACCUGUGGAAAGUAAAUGUCUCCAGUGGCCCAGCUCUAUCACAUCGUCUGUGGUAAAGCUUCAUCAUACAUUCAUCAUCAAGUCCUGGAACCUGGAGAAGAAGCAGUCAUCUGGGAAAAUUAAGAGGUAGGACUUGAGUGUGAAAAUAGAGUUUGGAUAGAGCAGUAUAGGAAGAGGGAUCUGGUGAUCAAAAUGCUAGCAAGAAGAUGACAUAAAUAUUUUACCUUUCAUUAACAUAUUUUCACUUAAUUUCUGAUAGUACUCUACAGAUGUGUAAUUGUUGACUACAGAACUAACCCAAAUUUAUUUGAGAAAAGGAGGUAUCUUUAAUGAA